AGUGAACGCUGGCGGUAGGCCUAACACAUGCAAGUCGAACGGCAGCACAGUAAGAGCUUGCUCUUACGGGUGGCGAGUGGCGGACGGGUGAGGAAUACAUCGGAAUCUACUUUUUCGUGGGGGAUAACGUAGGGAAACUUACGCUAAUACCGCAUACGACCUACGGGUGAAAGCAGGGGAUCUUCGGACCUUGCGCGACUGAAUGAGCCGAUGUCGGAUUAGCUAGUUGGCGGGGUAAAGGCCCACCAAGGCGACGAUCCGUAGCUGGUCUGAGAGGAUGAUCCGCCACACUGGAACUGAGACACGGUCCAGACUCCUACGGGAGGCAGCAGUGGGGAAUAUUGGACAAUGGGCGCAAGCCUGAUCCAGCCAUACCGCGUGGGUGAAGAAGGCCUUCGGGUUGUAAAGCCCUUUUGUUGGGAAAGAAAAGCAGCAGGUUAAUACCCCGCUGUUCUGACGGUACCCAAAGAAUAAGCACCGGCUAACUUCGUG
rnacentral:rRNA from 1 species